AUUGAACGCUGGCGGCAGGCCUAACACAUGCAAGUCGAACGGAUCCUUCGGGAUUAGUGGCGGACGGGUGAGUAACGCGUGGGAACAUACCCUUUGGUACGGAAUAGCCUCGGGAAACUGGGAGUAAUACCGUAUGUGGUCGAGAGACGAAAGAUUUAUCGCCAAAGGAUUGGCCCGCGUUGGAUUAGGUAGUUGGUGGGGUAAUGGCAUACCAAGCCGACGAUCCAUAGCUGGUUUGAGAGGAUGAUCAGCCACACUGGGACGGAGACACGGCCCAGACUCCUACGGGAUGCAGCAGUGGGGAAUCUUAGACGAUGGGGGAAACCCUGAUCUAGCCAUGCCGCGUGAUCGAUGAAGGCCUUAGGGUUGUAAAGAUCUUUCAGGUGGGAAGAUAAUGACUGUACCACCAGAAGAAGCCCCGGCUCACUACGUGCCAGCAGCCGCAGUAA
rnacentral:rRNA from 1 species